UGGGGAAUUGUUCGCAAUGGGCGCAAGCCUGACGACGCAACGCCGCGUGGAGGAUGAAGGUCUUCGGAUUGUAAACUCCUGUUGCCCGGGACGAAAAGCCUCGACCUAACACGUCGAGGUCUGACGGUACCGGGUGAGGAAGCCCCGGCUAACUCUGUGCCAGCAGCCGCGGUAAUACAGAGGGGGCAAGCGUUGUUCGGAAUUACUGGGCGUAAAGGGCGCGUAGGCGGCCUGCUAAGUCGAACGUGAAAUCCCCGGGCUCAACCCGGGAACUGCGUCCGAAACUGGUUGGCUUGAAUCCGGGAGAGGGAUGCGGAAUUCCAGGGGUAGCGGUGAAAUGCGUAGAUAUGUGGAGGAACACCGGUGGCGAAGGCGGCAUGCUGGACCGGCAUGGACGCUGAGGCGCGAAAGCCAGGGGAGCAAACGGG
rnacentral:rRNA from 1 species